AUUGAACGCUGGCGGCAUGCCUUACACAUGCAAGUCGAACGGCAGCACGGGGCAACCUGGUGGCGAGUGGCGAACGGGUGAGUAAUGCAUCGGAACGUACCCGGAAGUGGGGGAUAACGUAGCGAAAGUUACGCUAAUACCGCAUAUUCUGUGCGCAGGAAAGAGGGGGAUCUUCGGACCUCUUGCUUUCGGAGCGGCCGAUGUCAGAUUAGCUAGUUGGGGAGGUAAAGGCUCACCAAGGCGACGAUCUGUAGCGGGUCUGAGAGGAUGAUCCGCCACACUGGGACUGAGACACGGCCCAGACUCCUACGGGAGGCAGCAGUGGGGAAUUUUGGACAAUGGGCGCAAGCCUGAUCCAGCCAUGCCGCGUGAGUGAAGAAGGCCUUCGGGUUGUAAAGCUCUUUCGGCCGGGAAGAAAUCGCGUGAGUUAAUACCUUGCGUGGAUGACGGUACCGGAAUAAGAAGCACCGGCUAACUACGUGCCAGCCGCCGCGGUAACAC
rnacentral:rRNA from 1 species